GUAAUCGCUGCGCUCUUUAAGAGUGUAGAGGAAAGUCCAUGCUCACACGGUGCUGCGAUGCCCGUAGUGUUCGUGCUACCUGAAAAAAUAAGGGUAGGCAAGGUGCAAGCCUUGACGGCGGAAGGAACUCCUAAGUCUUUUAGAUAUGGACGAAACUUCCUGAAAGUGCCACAGUGACGGAGCUUAUUAGGAAACUAAUGAGGUGGAACGAGGUAAACCCCAUGAGUGAGAAACCCAAAUUAUGGUAGGGGCACUCUCCUGAAGGAAUUCAACGGAUGGAGGGACGCAAAUUCGUUUGCGUAGAUAGAUGAUUACUACCUAGUCGUACGAGGCGCGAGCCGUUUGAGUACUUAGGAACAAAACAUGGCUUAUUGUU
rnacentral:RNase_P_RNA from 1 species